CUGGGUGUGUAAGCGUUGUGAGGCGUUGAGCUAACCAGUACUAAUUGCCCGUGAGGCUUGACCAUAUAACACCCAAACA
rnacentral:rRNA from 1 species